GAAUGGUUUGGCUUGGAAGGGGCCUUAAAUCCCACCCAGUGCCACCCCUGCCAUGGCAGGGACACCUCCCACUGUCCCAGGUGGCUCCAAGCCCUGUCCAAGCUGGCCCUGGGCACUGCCAGGGAUGUUGAAGAUGUGAAAGAACUCAUCCAACUGCUGCCAAUCACGGGGAGAAGCAGCAAUCCUGGAGGCAGUGAGGACUGGGAGAGCACAGCUGGAAAGAGUCAUCUGGAGGAGGAAUAUCUCAUGUUGGGCUCUGAGCAGCUCCCCAAGCUGCCAGAAGGAUUCAGUAUCUGGAGUCACAUCAGGACAGCAGCGCUGGCUGUGGAGGGAGCUUUAUUUGCCGCUCCAGCAGGAAACUUCCACUUUGACACUGCUGAUUUCACUACUGCUCCCCUCACCCGCAGGAUACAGAGUGUCAGACUGGAGGUGUUUGCAGCUUCGCUGCCAUGCCCUGCUCUUCUGUUGGAGACUGGUUACGUGACGAAGGUCACGUAGACAUGCUCUGGAUAGCUGAGAAGUGGAAAAGUACCAGACCCAGCUAAUCUGAGGCCCCACACCUGUGAAGACGCUGUGGCCUUGAGCAUAGCUGUAUUACGAUAACAAAGAUGCUGUAGCCGAGAGCGGAGCAUGAGAAAAAGGAGAUGUAAGUUGUAAAGAAUGAAGAAGUAAGAAUAACCAAUAGAUUGCUUAACUUACAAAAUAUGCAUGAGCUUAUUAUGUGUUGUGCUUAAAUGUCUGAUGCUCUAAUCAAUAAAGGAAGCUUGCUGAUUCUCA